GACGAACGCUGGCGGCGUGCUUAACACAUGCCAGUCGAACGGAAAGGCCCUGCUUUUGUGGGGUGCUCGAGUGGCGAACGGGUGAGUAACACGUGAGUAACCUGCCCUUGACUUUGGGAUAACUUCAGGAAACUGGGGCUAAUACCGGAUAGGAGCUCCUGCCGCAUGGUGGGGGUUGGAAAGUUUCGGCGGUUGGGGAUGGACUCGCGGCUUAUCAGCUUGUUGGUGGGGUAGUGGCUUACCAAGGUUUUGACGGGUAGCCGGCCUGAGCGGGUGACCGGCCAGAUUGGAACUGAGAUGCGGCCCAGACUCCUACGGGAGGCAGCAGUGGGGAAUAUUGCACAAUGGGCGGAAGCCUGAGGCAGCAACGCCGCGUGCGGGAUGACGGCCUUCGGGUUGUAAACCGCUUUCGCCUGUGACGAAGCGUGAGUGACGGUAAUGGGUAAAGAAGCACCGGCUAACUACGUG
rnacentral:rRNA from 1 species